UUGGGAUUUAUUGAAGAGGAAUGUCUGGCUGAUUUAAAGCACUGCUGGUUGCUCAAGUUAGGGCAUUAGUACCUUUUAGUUAACAACGUCAAACAGGUGUGGGAGAUCCACUUUGAAGGGUGAUCUGUGUUCAUAUCCCUGAGGAGACUGUCAAGAUAACCAAGACAAUUUUCUGUUGUAAUUUUAAGAGUGAAAUUAGUUUGGAGAAAAUUGGUGGGAGAAAUCCAGCAUGCUGAGUUAUCUAAUUCAUAACAAAAUGGAGCUGGAUGCUGUGGUGCACACCUAUCAUCACAACUAUUCAGGAGGCUGAGGUGGGAGGAUCGCUUGGGUCCAGCCGUUUUGGGCUGUAGUGUGCUAUGCUGAUAGAGUGUCCACACUAUGUUUGGCCACAAUGUAGUGACCUCCCAAUUCGGGACCACCAGGUUGCUUGAGGAGGGGUGAGCCAGCCCAGGUCAGAAAUGGAGCAGGUCAAAACUGCCAUGUUGAUUAGUAGUGGGACUGCACCUGUGAAUAGCCACUGCCCUCCAGACUGGGCAACAUAGUGAGACCCCUGUCUCUAAAACAAACAGGCAGACAAACACAAAAUGGAAUCUGAGAAUCUGUGUCAUUUGCAUUAUUUGGAUGGGGAGAGAAAAACGGAUUAGACUGUAGCUAGGGGAUUUUUAUCUUUAUUUGCCUUCCAAGCUCCUUUAUCUCUUCCUGUUUCAAACACUUUCACUGCCAAAAGCCUAAUCCACAUCUGCACAAAGAGAACGCUACUGCGCUAAUAGCACAAGGAAAAGCACUGGAGCCCUUGGAACUCUUCCUAGGUUAAAAGCACUUCUAUUAACUUGCUGAUUUGUCUCAGAGAAAAAUUCCUAUUUUCUUUCUUUCUAGUGCCUCCAGAAAAGGAAAUUAAUUUGUGAUUUUAAAUUCAUUUUCUUUUUUAUGUCAAUUUUAAAACUUUUAUCAAAAUAAUACAUGCACAUAGUUUAAAAAUAAAAUAGUGCAAAAGGACUUAAUAAUGGAAAGCAACGUUUACCCACCACUCCCCUCCUCAAUUCUGGUCCCAUUUUUAACUCCUGUUUAUUUUGAUGACUACUUCCAUCUCUCUAAAUAGUAUUAUACCACUACUUCAUUUCCUUUAAAAAAAAAUCAGUUAUAUGUCUAUUAUCUACUGACUUUCUACUAUUUAUGUGGAAGUUUUCUUCACUUGUAUUUCCUCCCCCAUCUUUUCUCCUUCCUUCCAGUAUAGUUAAAUCAUCAUUUUUAAUUCCUCAGUGGUUUAUCUUAUGUAAAGGUACAUUCACUGCUAGUAAUUGAAAAUCAAUUUCAAUAUUUAAGCAGUAAGGAAAAUGUAUUUUCUCGCAAUAACACAUCCCAAGAUAAGUCAGCUAUAAGAUUAAUUAAUUCAG
rnacentral:lncRNA from 1 species